AACUGAGAGCCAGGCUGGCGUAGUGGUUAGAGGGUCAGACUAGGAACUAGGAGGCUGGGGUUCAAAUCCCCACUCAGUCA